UUCCAGACUCCUACGGGAGGCAGCAGUGAGGAAUAUUGGUCAAUGGGCGCGAGCCUGAACCAGCCAAGUCGCGUGAGGGAGGACGGCCCUACGGGUUGUAAACCUCUUUUGCCGGGGAGCAACGGGCGUCACGUGUGGCGCCACUGAGAGUACCCGGAGAAAAGGCAUCGGCUAACUCCGUGCCAGCAGCCGCGGUAAUACGGAGGAUGCGAGCGUUAUCCGGAUUUAUUGGGUUUAAAGGGAGCGUAGAUGGGUUGUUAAGUCAGUUGUGAAAGUUUGCGGCUCAACCGUAAAAUUGCAAUUGAUACUGGCAGCCUUGAGUACAGUUGAGGUAGGCGGAAUUCGUGGUGUAGCGGUGAAAUGCUUAGAUAUCACGAAGAACCCCGAUUGCGAAGGCAGCUUACUAAACUGUGACUGACAUUGAUGCUCGAAAGUGUGGGUAUCAAACAGGAUUAGAUACCCCAGUAA
rnacentral:rRNA from 1 species